AGUGGCAAACGGGUGAGUAACGCGUGGGAAAUUUGCCCUUCAGAUGGGGACAACAUCUCUAACGGGGUGCUAAUACCGAAUACGAUUCUCUGGUCGCAUGUCCGGAGAAUGAAAGGGUGGCCUCUGAUUCAAGCUAUCGCUGAAGGAUGAUCCCGCGUCCCAUUAGCUAGUUGGCAGGGUAAUGGCCUACCAAGGCGAUGAUGGGUAGCCGGCCUUAGCGGGUGACCGGCCACACUGGGACUGAAAUACGGCCCAGACUCCUACGGGAGGCAGCAGUCGAGAGGCUUCCACAAUGGGGGAAACCCUGAUGGAGCGACGCCGCGUGGGUGAAGACGGCCUUCGGGUUGUAAAGCCCUUUCGGCAGGGAAGAAUAGGUGCGGGGUGAAUAAUCCUGCGCCUGGGACUGUACCUGCAUAAGAAGCUCCGGCUAACUCCGUGCCAGCAGCCGCGGUAAUACGGGGGGAGCAAGCGUUGUUCGGAAUUACUGGGCGUAAAGGGCGUCUAGGCGGGCCGAUAAGUCAGAUGUGAAAUCCCACGGCUUAACCGUGGACUUGCAUUUGAUACUGUCGGUCUUGAGUUCGAGAGAGGGUAGCGGAAUUCCUGGUGUAGCGGUGGAAUGCGUAGAUAUCAGGAAGAACACCGGUGGCGAAGGCGGCUGCCUGGCUCGUAACUGACGCUAAAGCGCGAAAGUGUGGGGAGCGGACAGGAUUAGAUACCCUGGUAGUCCACACUGUAAACGAUGGAUGCUAGGUGUCGGGGGUGUCGACUCCCUCGGUG
rnacentral:rRNA from 1 species